rnacentral:rRNA from 1 species
GAUGAACGCUGGCGGCGUGCCUAAUACAUGCAAGUCGAGCGAACGGACGAGAAGCUUGCUUCUCUGAUGUUGGCGGCGGACGGGUGAGUAACACGUGGAUAACCUCCCUAUAAGACUGGGAUAACUUCGGGAAACCGGAGCUAAUACCGGAUAAUAUUUUGAACCGCAUGGUUCAAAAGUGAAAGACGGUCUUGCUGUCACUUAUAGAUGGAUCCGCGCUGCAUUAGCUAGUUGGUAAGGUAACGGCUUACCAAGGCAACGAUGCAUAGCCGACCUGAGAGGGUGAUCGGCCACACUGGAACUGAGACACGGUCCAGACUCCUACGGGAGGCAGCAGUAGGGAAUCUUCCGCAAUGGGCGAAAGCCUGACGGAGCAACGCCGCGUGAGUGAUGAAGGUCUUCGGAUCGUAAAACUCUGUUAUUAGGGAAGAACAUAUGUGUAAGUAACUGUGCACAUCUUGACGGUACCUAAUCAGAAAGCCACGGCUAACUACGUG